GAUGAACGCUGGCGGCGUGCCUAAUACAUGCAAGUCGAGCGAACGGACGAGAAGCUUGCUUCUCUGAUGUUAGCGGCGGACGGGUGAGUAACACGUGGAUAACCGACCUAUAAGACCGGGAUAACUUCGGGAAACCGGAGCUAAUACCGGAUAAUAUUUUGAACCGCAUGGUUCAAAAGUGAAAGACGGUCUUGCUGUCACUUAUAGAUGGAUCCGCGCUGCAUUAGCUAGUUGGUAAGGUAACGGCUUACCAAGGCAACGAUGCAUAGCCGACCUGAGAGGGUGAUCGGCCACACUGGAACUGAGACACGGUCCAGACUCCUACGGGAGGCAGCAGUAGGGAAUCUUCCGCAAUGGGCGAAAGCCUGACGGAGCAACGCCGCGUGAGUGAUGAAGGUCUUCGGAUCGUAAAACUCUGUUAUUAGGGAAGAACAUAUGUGUAAGUAACUGUGCACAUCUUGACGGUACCUAAUCAGAAAGCCACGGCUAACUACGUG
rnacentral:rRNA from 1 species